CUGCUAUUGGGAAGGAUACUGUACAGUAGAAUACUGUACAGUACAACACAGAGACAUAGAAGACUUCACAAACACACGUGUCGACACACAAACUGCAUACAGACUCUGCAGCUGGUCAAACAACCCAGUGCCGGUGGCUGUACUGAUAAGGCCAAACAGAUCAUUACUCUUCUCACAAAGAGACACCACACACCAGCUCCAGGAUAUCAACUGUUCCAAGAGCUCCAAGUUACAAGAUAUGAGUCAAAGCUAGCAAAGAAGAAGUACCACUCUCUCUUACUACUACUACUACUCACUCAACAUACAGUAACUUCCCUUAAAAUGUAUACUAUAGUACAGGGAUCAUCAAGGAGAUUCAGCCUCAGGAAUAUUUUUGUCUUGAGCGGAUGGAUGGUCAGGGGACAAGAUUUAAUCAUUUGUAGACUUGAAAUUGUUCGCAAGAAGGCCAAACAGAUGUAAUAUUUGACUAAAACAUAAAUCAUUUCAAACCUUGCUUACAUUUGUAUAUACGAUCACAU
rnacentral:lncRNA from 13 species